GAUCCUGGUUCAGGAUGAACGCUAGCGGCAGGCCUAACACAUGCAAGUCGAGGGGUAGAGUUCUUCGGGACUUGAGACCGGCGCACGGGUGCGUAACGCGUAUGCAAUCUACCUUAUACAGGGGAAUAGCCCAGAGAAAUUUGGAUUAAUGCCCCAUAGUGUUAUCGAAUCGCAUGGUUUGAUAACUAAAGUUCCAACGGUAUAAGAUGGGCGUGCGUGCUAUUAGCUAGUUGGUGAGGUAACGGCUCACCAAGGCUACGAUAGCUAGGGGGCGUGAGAGCGUGGCCCCCCACACGGGUACUGAGACACGGACCCGACUCCUACGGGAGGCAGCAGUAAGGAAUAUUGGACAAUGGUCGAAAGACUGAUCCAGCCAUCCCGCGUGCAGGAUGACUGCCCUAUGGGUUGUAAACUGCUUUUGUACGGAACGAAAAGGUUUCUAUUAAUACUAGGAGCUCAUGACGGUACCGUAAGAAUAAGCACCGGCUAACUACGUG
rnacentral:rRNA from 1 species